rnacentral:rRNA from 1 species
ACGAACGCUGGCGGCGUGCCUAAUACAUGCACGUAGAACGCUGAAGAGAGGAGCUUGCUCUUCUUGGAUGAGUUGCGAACGGGUGAGUAACGCGUAGGUAACCUGCCUGGUAGCGGGGGAUAACUAUUGGAAACGAUAGCUAAUACCGCAUAAAAUUGAUUAUUGCAUGAUAAUUAAUUGAAAGAUGCAACUGCAUCACUACCAGAUGGACCUGCGUUGUAUUAGCUAGUUGGUGAGGUAACGGCUCACCAAGGCGACGAUACAUAGCCGACCUGAGAGGGUGAUCGGCCACACUGGGACUGAGACACGGCCCAGACUCCUACGGGAGGCAGCAGUAGGGAAUCUUCGGCAAUGGGGGGAACCCUGACCGAGCAACGCCGCGUGAGUGAAGAAGGUUUUCGGAUCGUAAAGCUCUGUUGUAAGAGAAGAACGGGUGUGAGAGUGGAAAGUUCACACUGUGACGGUAUCUUACCAGAAAGGGACGGCUAACUACGUG